AGCUCGUGUCGUGAGAUGUUCGGUUAAGUCCGGCAACGAGCGCAACCCCUGUCUUUAGUUGCCAUCAUUUAUUGGGAACUCUAAAGAGACUGCCGGUGAUAAGCCGGAGGAAGUGGGGACGACGUCAAGUCCUCAUGGCCCUUACGGGAUGGGCUACACACGUGCUACAAUGGCAGUGACAAUGGGUUAACCCCAAAAAACUGUCUCAGUUCGGAUUGGAGUCUGCAACUCGACUCCAUGAAGUCGGAAUCGCUAGUAAUCGCGUAACAGCAUGACGCGGUGAAUACGUUCCCGGGCCUU
rnacentral:rRNA from 1 species